UUUUUAAAACGCCCAAGGGAUGGGAUGCCCAAUUUAAAUUGUAACCUUGUAAAAUUGGGGGGAUUUUUGAUCCCCCUGAACCCGGGCUAGUUACAUAUAAAAGCCUUAUUUAAUCCAAAGACAAAGCCUAGAUCAAAUUUUAAACGACUUUGUAAACAGGCAAGGUGUUGUAAGUGGUUGAGCAGCUGCCAUACUGCGAUCCACUGAAGCUUAUCCUUUGCUUGAUGAUUCGAU
rnacentral:ncRNA from 1 species